CCUGAAUUCUCUAGCAGCAUAAGAAAAUUCAGUCUUGGUGAAGUAAGUGGGGGAGCUUUAGUGUGCAGGUACAGGCUUGGUGUAUGAGCUGGGCAAGCACAGAUGUGAGAAAUUCAGGCAUGCCAAGAGAGAAGUGCAGAUGGACAAUGCAUCUGAAACAGCCAUGGCUAGUACAGGUCUUUUUAGAAGCUCAUUAUUGUAAACUUGAAAUACAUGGGGCACAUCCUUUCCAAGUCUUUCCCCGCUCCAGGCAAAAGAGUAGCAAGUUUGCCGCAAAGGUGUUUAAUGUGUCGUUCAUAUCAUCUUCUGGGGAGAGACGCCAUCAGUAGCUCAACCUCCAUAUCCACAGCCAGCCUUCCCAAGCCAGAAAUUGCAGCUGAUUUUAGGAAGAGGCAUUUUACACUUGAUGCAUAUAGACUUGAGCAUACGCACACAGAAAUCCGUGCACAACGUGGUGGUUGUUACCUCAGUUGGUUUGGUCUUCCAAGUCCUCCACUGAUGAGGGAAAGGAGAAGAGUGUCCUCCAUGAGAAGAGGACUUUUUAAAAUAUUGAAGAGGCAUGUUUGCUUUACAAAUUGAGGAAGAUGUGAAUUUUUCCUCUUCACAGUGAGUUAUUCCUUCUUUACAUAGAUCUUCUGCUUGCA
rnacentral:lncRNA from 1 species